rnacentral:rRNA from 1 species
UACGAAGGGUGCAAGCGUUACUCGGAAUUACUGGGCGUAAAGCGUGCGUAGGCGGUUUGUUAAGUCCGCUGUGAAAGCCCUGGGCUCAACCUGGGAAUUGCAGUGGAUACUGGCAAGCUAGAGUGUGGUAGGGGAGAUCGGAAUUCCCGGUGUAGCGGUGAAAUGCGCAGAUAUCGGGAAGAACACCCGUGGCGAAGGCGGCUCUCUGGGACGGUACUGACGCUGAGACGCGAAAGCGUGGGGAGGCGAACGAGG